CUUAUCGAGAGCGGCUGAGGGACUGGCCCGAUGAAGCCCGGCAACCGGCGGAACGAUCCGUGCGGUGCCAAAUCCAGCAGCGGCCCAUGGCCGCUGGCAGAUAAG
rnacentral:ncRNA from 1 species